rnacentral:rRNA from 1 species
GACGAACGCUGGCGGCGUGCUUAACACAUGCAAGUCGAACGGAGAGGCCCCUUUGGGGGUCCUCGAGUGGCGAACGGGUGAGUAACACGUGAGUAACCUGCCCUUGACUUCGGGAUAACUUCAGGAAACUGGGGCUAAUACCGGAUAGGAAUCCUUGCUGCAUGGUGGGGGUUGGAAAGCUUCGGCGGUUUUGGAUGGACUCGCGGCUUAUCAGCUUGUUGGUGGGGUAGUGGCUUACCAAGGCUUUGACGGGUAGCCGGCCUGAGAGGGCGACCGGCCACAUUGGGACUGAGAUACGGCCCAGACUCCUACGGGAGGCAGCAGUGGGGAAUAUUGCACAAUGGGCGGAAGCCUGAUGCAGCAACGCCGCGUGCGGGAUGACGGCCUUCGGGUUGUAAACCGCGUUCAGCAGGGGCGAAGCUUGUGGUGACGGUACCUGCAGAAGAAGCACCGGCUAACUACGUG